CAGAGGGGCAAGCGUUGUUCGGAAUUACUGGGCGUAAAGGGCGCGAAGGCGGCACCUAAGUCAGACGUGAAAUCCCUCGGCUCAACCGGGGAACUGCGUCUGAUACUGGGUGGCUUGAAUUCGGGAGAGGAAUGCGGAAUUCCAGGUGUAGCGGUGAAAUGCGUAGAUAUCUGGAGGAACACCGGUGGCGAAGGCGGCAUUCUGGACCGACAUUGACGCUGAGGCGCGAAAGCCAGGGGAGCAAACGGGAUUAGAUACCCCGGUAGUCCUGGCCCUAAACGAUGAAUGCUUGGUGUGGCGGGUAUCGAUCCCUGCCGUGCCGAAGCUAACACAUUAAGCAUUCCGCCUGGGGAGUACGGUCGCAAGGCUG
rnacentral:rRNA from 1 species